CAUAAGAGGUCCAGCCUGCCCAGUGACCCUGUUCAACGGCCGCGGUAUCCUGACCGUGCGAAGGUAGCGUAAUCACUUGUUCUUUAAAUGAGGACUAGUAUGAAUGGCAUCACGAAGAUUAUACUGUCUCCUUUUCUUAAUCAGUUAAACUAAUCUCCCCGUGAAGAAGCGAGGAUAAACAUAUAAGACGAGAAGACCCUAUGGAGCUUUAAACUAUACUACAUUUGUCCAAUUUUAUUUAAUUUCAGAAAAAUAAUUAUCUCAACAUUAUGAUUGUAAGUUUUCGGUUGGGGUGACCACGGAGAAAAAUCAAUCCUCCGCGCUGAACAGACAAUUUCUUUAACCAAAAGUUACUCCUUUAAGUAUCAACAAAUUGACAUUAUUGACCCAAUAUUUUUUGAUCAACGAACCAAGUUACCCUAGGGAUAACAGCGCAAUCCAUUUCAAGAGCUCCUAUCGACAAAUGGGUUUACGACCUCGAUGUUGGAUCAGGGUAUCCCAGUGGUGUAGCCGCUACUAAAGGUUCGUUGGUUCAA
rnacentral:rRNA from 1 species